rnacentral:tRNA from 1 species
GCCUGGGUGGCUCAGCGGUUGAGCGCCUGCCUUUAGCUCAGGUCAUGAUCCCGGGCU